CUUGUUCGGAGCCUGGUUAACUUUUAGAACUGACUCGCUGAGUACAUUGAGAAGCGUUUGCAUUGGAGCACAUAUAUAAGGAUUAAUGCAAAGGAAAAUCAAUUAAAUCGUUGUUCAUUGAUUAAAACAGAUUGCAAACAUAGUUAGCUUACGGAGACAGAAGCUUCUUGGACUCUGCUCUGGGAAGAGUUCGUUUCUCAGUCCACUUUCUAGAUUCUUUUGUAACGGAAAUCCACCAGAAAGUUCAAGUCAAAAUGCAAAAUCAACCAGUCUGCAUUCCAUGCCCUAAGAUUCCAUCAAUCAUAUUCAUGGGGUAAGAAUGCAUCACAGUUUCACCAUUUAGUUUGACCUAUUGGUUGCGUUUAUACGAGUUUGUUGUUUACUAUUUCAUUUACCAUUUCGUAUGAACUUAUCACUUGCAGAGAUUCUUUUUUUGUUCUUCCCUCGGUUAGUGAUGCUUUUGCCUCACUAAUGUCAUCUUAUUGUACACUUUGACAUAUUUAUGAAUAUGUGUUCAUGUUCAUGGUUGGUA